rnacentral:rRNA from 1 species
ACUCCUACGGGAGGCAGCAGUGAGGAAUAUUGGACAAUGGGUGGAAGCCUGAUCCAGCCAUCCCGCGUGCAGGAAGACGGCCCUAUGGGUUGUAAACUGCUUUUAUCUGGGGAUAAACCUACUUACGUGUAAGUAGCUGAAGGUACCAGAAGAAUAAGCACCGGCUAACUCCGUGCCAGCAGCCGCGGUAAUACGGAGGGUGCAAGCGUUAUCCGGAUUUAUUGGGUUUAAAGGGUCCGUAGGCGGACUGAUAAGUCAGUGGUGAAAUCCGACAGCUUAACUGUCGAACUGCCAUUGAUACUGUUAGUCUUGAGUAAGGUUGAAGUGGCUGGAAUAAGUAGUGUAGCGGUGAAAUGCAUAGAUAUUACUUAGAACACCAAUUGCGAAGGCAGGUCACUAAGUCUUAACUGACGCUGAUGGACGAAAGCGUGGGGAGCGAACAGGAUUAGAAACCCCGGUAGUCCCAUGA